GACGAACGCUGGCGGCGUGCCUAAUACAUGCAAGUAGAACGCAGUUGCGAACGGGUGAGUAACGCGUAUGUAACUUCCUCAUAACGGGGGAUAACUAUUUGAAACGAUAGCUAAUACCGCAUACUGUGAGAUGUACCUGCGUUGUAUUAGCUAGUUGGUGAGGUAAAGGCUCACCAUGGCGACUAUACAUAGUCGACUUGGGAGGGGGAUCGGCCCAACUGGGAAUGGGAAAAGGCCCAGAAUCCCACGGGAGGCAGCAGUAGGGAAGUUUCGGAAAUGGGCGGAAGGCUGACCGAGCAAAGCCGCGUGAGUGAAGAAGGGUUUAGGAUCGUAAAGCUCCGUUGUUAGAGAAGCGGUAACUAAACAGAAAGGGACGGCUAACUACGUGCCAGCAGCCGCGGUAAUAC
rnacentral:rRNA from 1 species